UGUUAGCGCUAUAUCGAGGCUAUUCAAGAUGGCAGACGAGAGAAGAGGGAAGAGGCGUUUGUAAACAACGCCUAAAAGUCCUCGCUAAGAACAACAUGGAUGUUUUAAAAGACUUCAACUAUUCGAAGUAUUGGGAAAAACUACGGGAAAGUAUGCCUAGCAGCUCUGAAAUCAUUGAAUUUGUGAAAAGCCACGUACAAGAACUCGUUAAUUCUGAAGACUGGCAAAUUCGGUUGAGUGUUAUUUUGGUGAUGUGCACCUUCAUCAAUGUUGUCUUGAUUGGUGUGGUGUGGAGUAUAUACGGGGAAACGAUAUCCAAAAUAUUUUACAAUAAGCCUAGGACACCUCUGAAACGACUGAACGGACCUGGUAGCAAGGAAGUCCUCACGAAUAACGAAACCUUGGAGGAUCUUCUCGCAAAAAAACAACAAUGACACAAGAGUUGAUGAGUGGGACCCCAGUAAGUCAGAUGGGAAACAAAGAAA